GCUAGGGGUGGUUGCCUGUGACGUCACCGGACGCGCCCGCUUCUCGCUGGAGUGCGCACCGAGCGGCAGUGACUUCGCCGCUGCUGUAGUUCCCCGGCUGGAUGCGGUGACUGGUGCCAGUGCUCAGGCGCCCGCUGCCCUUGACCUCCCGCCCCGCGAGCCCUAACUCAGCGCAGGAGGACCGGCUGCCGCCGCCGCCGCCGCCAGAUCCACACAACUUAAAGAUCUGCUGUCGAGUGAAUGGGGAAGUGGUCCAGAGCAGCAACACCAACCAGAUGGUAUUCAAGACAGAGGACCUGAUAGCCUGGGUGUCCCAGUUUGUUACCUUUUACCCAGGGGAUGUCAUCCUGACUGGGACCCCCCCACCUCCACCCAGGUGUCGGUGUAUUCAGGAAACCUCCUGUCUUUCUCAAGGUCUCUGAAGGUCCAGACAGCACUGAUGGCGAGCUUUGGGUCCGCACACUCUGGAAAGAAGAGAGAAGUGAAGGCUCUAGGUAGGGAGAACAGAGAGCCACUGGGCACAGGCUUCUCUCCUCUUGUUUAAAGAAGCCCAGGGAGGGAUAGAGCUCUGACUGGACAGAAGACUGUACUCUGCAGCCUGCCUUCCUAGAGUUGGGUUGUCACUGUCCUGCAGGGGGCAGCAGCCACCAGCAAACACCACUGCCUGCAGGAGCCUGGGCUGACUGGUUGGGACUCACCGAAGAUCCCUUCUUCCUGGGCGGUGGCCUGCAGGAACUGGAACAGCUGCUCUGUGUAGCCCAACUCUGCAGAAGAGAGAAGACCUAGACCUGGCACCCAGCACAGACACAGCCUGCCUCGAGGACUGCAAGGGAACAAGGGCCUCACCAGUAUCGGGCAGCUGGCCCUGGCGGAGGAAGGCGGCAGCCUGUGCAAAGGCCUUGAGCAGCGGGCUGAGCAGGCGGCAGAGGAAAAGAAAGAAAUCUGGGCAGUGUGACUGCUGGCUGAGCUGGAGGGGACAGGCCGGGGUGAGUGCAGCUCCCCACCGCCUCCCUACCACCUCCCUCCAGGGGCAGCUUUUUGAAACACACCCUGAAGUACCGGCCGUCAGCCUCUCCGAAGUCAUCACUGUCACUAUCAGUAAAGUCCCCACUCGGUUUCCACAGCAGCUUUCUGCUCAA
rnacentral:lncRNA from 1 species